CAAUAGCGUAUAUUAAAGUUGUUGUGGUUAAAAGCUCGUAGUUGGAUCUCGGCGGACUGAGGGCGGUUUGCUUGCUAGUAUUACUGCCCUAUAGUCCGUAGUUUUGCCAGAGGUUUCGGGGUGCUCUUAAUCGAGUGUCCCGGGAUGCUGGCAGGUUUACUUUGAAAAAUUAGAGUGCUCAAAGCAGGCUAUUACGCCUGAAUAUUCGUGCAUGGAAUAAUAGAAUAGGAAGUCGUUUCUAUUUUUGUUGGUUUUCGGAAAUCGACUUAAUGAUUAAUAGGGACAGUCGGGGGCAUUUGUAUUCAAACGACAGAGGUGAAAUUCUUGGACCGUUUGAAGACAAACUACUGCGAAAGCAUUUGCCAAGAAUGUUUUCAUUAAUCAAGAACGAAAGUUAAAGGUUCGAAGACGAUUAGAUACCA
rnacentral:rRNA from 1 species